rnacentral:rRNA from 1 species
CAAUAGCGUAUAUUUAAGUUGUUGCAGUUAAAAAGCUCGUAGUUGGAUUUCGGGUAGGAUUUGCCGGUCCGUCUUUGAGAUGUGUACUGGUAAGUCCUAUCUUCUUGUCGGGGACCAGCUCCUGGGCUUCACUGUCCGGGACUGGGAGCCGACGAAGUUACUUUGAGUAAAUUAGAGUGUUCAAAGCAAGCCUACGCUCUGAAUAUAUUAGCAUGGAAUAACACGAUAGGACUCUGGCUUAUCUUGUUGGUCUGUGAGACCAGAGUAAUGAUUAAGAGGGACAGUCGGGGACAUUCGUAUUUCAUUGUCAGAGGUGAAAUUCUUGGAUUUAUGAAAGACGGACUACUGCGAAAACAUUUGCCAAGGAUGUUUUCAUUGA